rnacentral:ncRNA from 2 species
GGGUCGAUGCCCGAGCGGUUAAUG